UGCGUAGGCGGAUUAAUAAGUCAGUGGUGAAAUCUUUCGGCUCAACCGAGAAACUGCCAUUGAUACUGUUAAUCUUGAGUUCGGUUGAGGUAGGCGGAAUGUAUAAUGUAGCGGUGAAAUGCUUAGAUAUUACACAAAACACCAAUUGCGUAGGCAGCUUACUAGACCGACACUGACGCUGAGGCACGAAAGCGUGGGGAGCGAACAGGAUUAGAUACCCUGGUAGUCC
rnacentral:rRNA from 1 species